rnacentral:rRNA from 1 species
AAUCAACGCUGGCGGCGUGCCUAACACAUGCAAGUCGAACGCGAAAGUCCCGCAAGGGGGCAAGUAGAGUGGCGCACGGGUGAGUAACACGUGGAUAACCUGCCUUCGAGUGAGGAAUAACCUUCCGAAAGGAGGGCUAAUACCGCAUAACACCUUGAGACAAAAGUCUCGAGGUUAAAAGGAGCAAUUCGCUUGAAGAGGGGUCCGCGCCUGAUUAGCUAGUUGGUGAGGUAACGGCUCACCAAGGCUAUGAUCAGUAGCCGUCCUGAGAGGGAGCACGGCCACACUGGAACUGAGACACGGUCCAGACUCCUACGGGAGGCAGCAGUGGGGAAUUUUGGCAAUGGGCGAAAGCCUGACCAAGCAACGCCGCGUGGGUGA